AUUGAACGCUGGCGGCAUGCCUUACACAUGCAAGUCGAACGGCAGCACGGGUGCUUGCACCUGGUGGCGAGUGGCGAACGGGUGAGUAAUACAUCGGAACAUGUCCUGUAGUGGGGGAUAGCCCGGCGAAAGCCGGAUUAAUACCGCAUACGAUCUACGGCUGAAAGCGGGGGACCUUCGGGCCUCGCGCUAUAGGGUUGGCCGAUGGCUGAUUAGCUAGUUGGUGGGGUAAAGGCCAACCAAGGCGACGAUCAGUAGCUGGUCUGAGAGGACGACCAGCCACACUGGGACUGAGACACGGCCCAGACUCCUACGGGAGGCAGCAGUGGGGAAUUUUGGACAAUGGGCGAAAGCCUGAUCCAGCAAUGCCGCGUGUGUGAAGAAGGCCUUCGGGUUGUAAAGCACUUUUGUCCGGAAAGAAAUCCUUGGCCCUAAUACGGUCGGGGGAUGACGGUACCGGAAGAAUAAGCACCGGCUAACUACGUG
rnacentral:rRNA from 1 species